rnacentral:rRNA from 1 species
GAAGAUAAUAGUUAGUAAUAUAGAGCAGGUCCUGCCUGCCCAGUGACUAUAAGUUAAACGGCCGCGGUAUUUUGACCGUGCAAAGGUAGCGCAAUCACUUGUCUUUUAAAUGAAGACCUGUAUGAAUGGUGGAACGAGGGCUUAACUGUCUCCCCCUUCUAGUCAAUGAAAUUGAUCUACCCGUGCAGAAGCGGGUAUAAUAAUACAAGACGAGAAGACCCUUUGGAGCUUAAGACAAAAGACCAACUAUGUCAAAAGUCCUAAAAAAGACUAAACCAAAUAGUUCUGGUCCUAAUCUUCGGUUGGGGUGACCACGGGAGAAAACAAAGCUCCCAUGCGGACUGGGACAUUUCCUAAAACUAAGAGAGACAUCUCUAAGACACAGAACAUCUGACCAUAAAGAUCCGGCUACAUGCCGACCAACGGACCAAGUUACCCUAGGGAUAACAGCGCAAUCCCCUUCCAGAGUCCAUAUCGACAAGGGGGUUUACGACCUCGAUGUUGGAUCAGGACAUCCUAAUGGUGCAGCCGCUAUUAAGGGUUCGUUUGUUCAACGAUUAAAGUCCUACGUGAUCUGAUUCCAGACCGGAACCGGGCUUGGGGGCCCCGGGGGACCAGGGGGAAGGGCCCAAUGAGGGGGGAAAUAAUAUCCCCGGGGAAAAGAAGGAAA